CCCCCGCGCCCAAUGGGAAGACGGAAUACUCGAGACUGGCGUCCGCUUCUAAACCAAUCAGAAGGAAAAGGGGUGCACGUGCGCAAAAGUGAUCCGGAAGGAGGGAGGCUCGUGGUGACGUCACAGCCUGACCCAUUUAUGUAUGCCGCCCAGAACGGGCAGGACAGCAAGGAUGGUUAUGCCGCGAAAUGAACCCCAUGCGCUGACUAAUUCCAGCCAAGCCAAGGAAGAAAAUAUUCUGUAUUUUAUUUUAACAAGUACAGAAUUGUUGACAUUAUUUGGUAUCGCCUCCGCCGGACACCUGUAACCAACUCGGAACCCAAACCGGGCUUUAAUUACAAAUAAAAGUAAACAAACCGCAAGGCAAGAGCACUCGCAUCAAAGAAAAUGUCAUUUCCUUUUCUUAAUUGGCCAUUCCUUCUGAGAAUGACAUCCAUAGGGUGGAAAGCAUCUCAGAUCAUCCACUAAACAACGGUUCUAAUGCUGCACGUCUAAAACCCUGCCCCUUGUUGUUGCCAUGAUCAGAUCCAUAUUGCAUUGCCAGACAAUAGGGUGCUGGGCAAGCUCCCUUCCCAAACCCGAGCCCCCCAGACGUCAUGUUCAGUUUCAUCCCAGAGCAGCUGUAGGGCACGGAGAUGCAUGUCCCAGGUUCCAUUGCAAUGCAAGAAUCUUCAUUUCUUGACUGCAGAUAGUGCUACUGAUAUAUAAUAAUUAUUAUUAUAUUCACUUCUUGCCUGCAGGUUCUUUGGUGAGAACGCAAGCUGCCCAACCCAGCAAGGCUUUUGAGAUUUUUGUAGCGCGCACUUGAGCGCAGAGUUCAGGUAUCGGUGGGUCGUAGGCCACGUGAAAAGGGCGUCUUCCCACACGUUCCUGCAAGAAAGGAAGAGAAACAGAUCAAGUUUGAUCACUUAUGAUGUGGAACUGAAAAAUAUGGAUUUUUAGACAUAUAUUUUAUGUCUUGUAUUUUUAUAUGUAUUUUUAUCCUUUACAAUUUUAUCUUGUAAAUUGCCUAGAGCAUCAUGGAUGGAGGGCGAUUAAUAAGUAAUUUAAAUGAUGAUGAUGAUGAUAUUGUAUGCACAUAAGAAGCAGUGAAAUGUAGAAAAAUCAGACUCUCUCUGUGUUAGAUUUUAGGGAUGCACAAGCUGACAGGACAGGGGGGAGAAGGGGGGCCAGUUAUCUAAACAUUCCAGUGUGAAUUGGUUCCUAGUACAGCUAAAUGGAAGGAGAGCAGACAGGUCAAAGUAGGCCUCUUGAUGGCUUUCUUUUGGUGUCUGUAGCUUGCUACACGCUUUUAAGAGUACUUAAGAUAGGAAAAUGCUGAUUGUGCAUAUUUAUGCCCAUGUAUGUAAGCAUGUGAAGUGACGUACUAAUGACGAGAUGUAUGUAAAAGCAUGUUCUUUGUCUGAAAAUGUAUAAAAGGCGAGUCCACACCUUGAUCUAUCUGCCCAUUUUAUAAUAGCCCCAUUCUCAAGGUGUUGCCAAUCUUAUAUUGCAUUUUGUCCAUUUCAACUGUGAAAUUACCUUCCCCAUUUCGGCACAUUCUGCACUUUGCCUGGGUUCAAUGAAUUAGUCUCCUGUGUUAAUAUUGUAUGUUUUAUGUCGAUUUUAACUAUUGUUUUUACUGUAAUUGAUGUUUUUAUUGGAUAAUUGUUUUAUUGCUGUGUUUUGAUAUUUGAUUGUUUUAUCGGGCAAGGCCCCAUGUAAGCCGCCCCGAGUCCCUUCGGGGAGAUGGGGCGGGGUAUAAAAAUAAAGUUAUUAUUAUUAUUAUUA